GACGGAGGGUGCAAGCGUUGUUCGGAUUUACUGGGCGUAAAGGGCGCGUAGGCGGCGCAACAAGUCACUUGUGAAAUCUCCGGGCUUAACCCGGAGCGGCCAAGUGAUACUGUCGUGCUAGAGUGCGGAAGGGGCUACUGGAAUUCUCGGUGUAGCGGUGAAAUGCGUAGAUAUCGAGAGGAACACCUGCGGCGAAGGCGGGUAGCUGGGCCGACACUGACGCUGAGGCGCGAAAGCCAGGGGAGCGAACGGG
rnacentral:rRNA from 1 species